UAACCGAUUCAACCGUUCCCAACGAAAUUGCUGUUCACAAAGUAUUUCUAAUACAACCGCGACUCCAAACCUAAAAUGGAGCAAAGCAACUUAAGUGGCGCUGAAAAAUGAAAGUCCAUAAAUUUGACUAAAAGUAGCCGCCCAAAAAGCAACGAACGCCCCAAAAAGGCGAAUAAAAAAUACAAACAAAAAAACCGCAACAACCUAAAACGAAGUGCAGAUAGUGCAUGUGUACGUGUAUGUACAUAUGUAUAUGUAUGUAGUAAACCUCAAGUGCAGAUCUUAUUUCAGCGUUGCAUACAUUUGGGCGGUAACGCGUGCCAUCCCUUCGCACAUUUCACUUCUAAACGUAAAAUGUGUGUUCCAAUGUGCCAAAAGUAGAACAAAGUGGGCUAAAGCUUUGUCAGCAGGAGAGUCUGCCAGCAGACAUCAUAAUCAGCAUCUUCAUCACCAGCUUCUGCAGCAACAACUAAAAUAGCAAUCACAACAACGAAUAUAGCUUCAGCGCGAAUAGGGGGUGUUUGCCGGCCGGCCUAUAUGCCGCAGCUUAACGGCGGUCCAACUUUAGCAUAACUCAUCUCUAAUCUUCUACAACUCUCACUUCUCCUACUGCACUUCCUGCACUGGUCAACUUGCUUGGGUAGAGGGGGUCAUCGAAAGGCAUAAUUACCCCACACAGGCUGUACGCCUGCCAAGCUUCCAGCCAACCAUUUUGCGGAACGUCUGCAAAUCAAACUUCCAACCACAACUCACGCCCACAUUUGCUAUGUGAA